CAAGAAUGCUCGUUUCAUAUUCUCCUAAGAUGUAACCGUCCCAGGUGCUAGCUCAUACAACCAAUCUUUAGCUUUGUCCAUUAGAGAGAACGGAAAAGCUUUCAUCUUCAAGAUGUUGCCAUCGACAUUCACCGGGGUCAUGCUUGAACAAACUACUUCAAACUCCUUCACGUGCUUGUUUGGAUCCUCCAUGGACAGCCCAUGGUACUUUGGUAUUGGAUGCAUAGAGGCGUUGCAUUGUCCACAC
rnacentral:lncRNA from 1 species